rnacentral:misc_RNA from 1 species
GUUGAGUAUUGAAGAAUUGAUGUUUUUGAAUUAUGGUGUUGGAGAAGAUUUUUGAGAAUUUUUUGGAUAGUAAGGAGAUUAAAUUAGUUAAUUUUAAAGGAAAUUAAUUUUGAAUAUUUAUUGGAAGGAUUGAUGUUGAAGUUGAAAUUUUAAUAUUUUGGUUAUUUGAUGCGAAGAGUUGAUUUAUUUGAAAAGAUUUUGAUGUUGGGAAAGUUUGAAGGUAG